CCCCGGUAAACGGCGGCCGUAACUAUAACGGUCCUAAGGUAGCGAAAUUCCUUGUCGGGUAAGUUCCGACCUGCACGAAUGGCGUAAUGAUGGCCAGGCUGUCUCCACCCGAGACUCAGUGAAAUUGAACUCGCUGUGAAGAUGCAGUGUACCCGCGGCAAGACGGAAAGACCCCGUGAACCUUUACUAUAGCUUGACACUGAACAUUGAGCCUUGAUGUGUAGGAUAGGUGGGAGGCUUUGAAGUGUGGACGCCAGUCUGCAUGGAGCCGACCUUGAAAUACCACCCUUUAAUGUUUGAUGUUCUAACGUGGACCCGUAAUCCGGGUUGCGGACAGUGUCUGGUGGGUAGUUUGACUGGGGCGGUCUCCUCCUAAAGAGUAACGGAGGAGCACGAAGGUUGGCUAAUCCUGGUCGGACAUCAGGAGGUUAGUGCAAUGGCAUAAGCCAGCUUGACUGCGAGCGUGACGGCGCGAGCAGGUGCGAAAGCAGGUCAUAGUGAUCCGGUGGUUCUGAAUGGAAGGGCCAUCGCUCAACGGAUAAAAGGUACUCCGGGGAUAACAGGCUGAUACCGCCCAAGAGUUCAUAUCGACGGCGGUGUUUGGCACCUCGAUGUCGGCUCAUCACAUCCUGGGGCUGAAGUAGGUCCCAAGGGUAUGGCUGUUCGCCAUUUAAAGUGGUACGCGAGCUGGGUUUAGAACGUCGUGAGACAGUUCGGUCCCUAUCUGCCGUGGGCGCUGGAGAACUGAGGGGGGCUGCUCCUAGUACGAGAGGACCGGAGUGGACGCAUCACUGGUGUUCGGGUUGUCAUGCCAAUGGCACUGCCCGGUAGCUAAAUGCGGAAGAGAUAAGUGCUGAAAGCAUCUAAGCACGAAACUUGCCCCGAGAUGAGUUCUCCCUGAGACUUAGAGUCUCCUGAAGGAACGUUGAAGACGACGACGUUGAUAGGCCGGG
rnacentral:rRNA from 3 species